UAGGGAAUCUUCGGCAAUGGACGCAAGUCUGACCGAGCAACGCCGCGUGAGUGAAGAAGGUUUUCGGAUCGUAAAACUCUGUUGUUAGAGAAGAACAAGGAUGAGAGUAAAAUGUUCAUCCCUUGACGGUAUCUAACCAGAAAGCCACGGCUAACUACGUGCCAGCAGCCGCGGUAAUACGUAGGUGGCAAGCGUUGUCCGGAUUUAUUGGGCGUAAAGCGAGCGCAGGCGGUUUCUUAAGUCUGAUGUGAAAGCCCCCGGCUCAACCGGGGAGGGUCAUUGGAAACUGGGAAACUUGAGUGCAGAAGAGGAGAGUGUAAUUCCAUGUGUAGCGGUGAAAUGCGUAGAUAUAUGGAGGAACACCAGUGGCGAAGGCGGCUCUCUGGUCUGUAACUGACGCUGAGGCUCGAAAGCGUGGGGAGCAAACAGG
rnacentral:rRNA from 1 species